AAUAUCUCAUAUCCAGAUCUUGUGUAUAUAAUAAUACUUAUUAUUAUAUACACAAGGUCUGGAUAUGAGGUAUUCUGCAAUC